AGCGAACGCUGGCGGCAGGCUUAACACAUGCAAGUCGAGCGGGCACCUUCGGGUGUCAGCGGCAGACGGGUGAGUAACACGUGGGAACGUACCCUUCGGUUCGGAAUAACGCUGGGAAACUAGCGCUAAUACCGGAUACGCCCUUCUGGGGAAAGGUUUACUGCCGAAGGAUCGGCCCGCGUCUGAUUAGCUAGUUGGUGGGGUAAUGGCCUACCAAGGCGACGAUCAGUAGCUGGUCUGAGAGGAUGAUCAACCACACUGGGACUGAGACACGGCCCAGACUCCUACGGGAGGCAGCAGUGGGGAAUACUGGACAAUGGGCGCAAGCCUGAUCCAGCCAUGCCGCGUGAGUGAUGAAGGCCUUAGGGUUGUAAAGCUCUUUUGUCCGGGACGAUAAUGACGGUACCGGAAG
rnacentral:rRNA from 1 species